GACGAACGCUGGCGGCGUGCUUAACACAUGCAAGUCGAACGGAAAGGCCCUGCUUUUGUGGGGUGCUCGAGUGGCGAACGGGUGAGUAACACGUGAGUAACCUGCCCUUGACUUUGGGAUAGCUUCAGGAAACUGGGGCUAAUACCGGAUAGGAGCUCCUGCUGCAUGGUGGGGGUUGGAAAGUUUCGGCGGUUGGGGAUGGACUCGCGGCUUAUCAGCUUGUUGGUGGGGUAGUGGCUUACCAAGGCUUUGACGGGUAGCCGGCCUGAGAGGGUGACCGGCCACAUUGGGACUGAGAUACGGCCCAGACUCCUACGGGAGGCAGCAGUGGGGAAUAUUGCACAAUGGGCGGAAGCCUGAUGCAGCAACGCCGCGUGCGGGAUGACGGCCUUCGGGUUGUAAACCGCUUUCGCCUGUGACGAAGCGUGAGUGACGGUAAUGGGUAAAGAAGCACCGGCUAACUACGUGCCAGCAGCCGCGGUGAUACGUAGGGUGCGAGCGUUGUCCGGAUUUAUUGGGCGUAAAGGGCUCGUAGGUGGUUGAUUGCGUCGGAAGUGUAAUCUUGGGGCUUAACCCUGAGCGUGCUUUCGAUACGGGUUGACUUGAGGAAGGUAGGGGAGAAUGGAAUUCCUGGUGGAGCGGUGGAAUGCGCAGAUAUCAGGAGGAACACCAGUGGCGAAGGCGGUUCUCUGGGCCUUUCCUGACGCUGAGGAGCGAAAGCGUGGGGAGCGAACAGGCUUAGAUACCCUGGUAGUCCACGCUGUAAACGGUGGGUACUAGGUGUGGGGUCCAUUCCACGGGUUCCGUGCCGUAGCUAACGCUUUAAGUACCCCGCCUGGGGAGUACGGCCGCAAGGCUAAAACUCAAAGGAAUUGACGGGGCCCCGCACAAGCGGCGGAGCAUGCGGAUUAAUUCGAUGCAACGCGUAGAACCUUACCUGGGUUUGACAUGGAUCGGGAGUGCUCAGAGAUGGGUGUGCCUCUUUUGGGGUCGGUUCACAGGUGGUGCAUGGCUGUCGUCAGCUCGUGUCGUGAGAUGUUGGGUUAAGUCCCGCAACGAGCGCAACCCUUGUUCACUGUUGCCAGCACGUUAUGGUGGGGACUCAGUGGAGACCGCCGGGGUCAACUCGGAGGAAGGUGGGGAUGACGUCAAGUCAUCAUGCCCCUUAUGUCCAGGGCUUCACGCAUGCUACAAUGGCUGGUACAGAGAGUGGCGAGCCUGUGAGGGUGAGCGAAUCUCGGAAAGCCGGUCUCAGUUCGGAUUGGGGUCUGCAACUCGACCUCAUGAAGUCGGAGUCGCUAGUAAUCGCAGAUCAGCAACGCUGCGGUGAAUACGUUCCCGGG
rnacentral:rRNA from 1 species